ACUUUCUAAAACGAGGCCCGCCUCUCUGUGCACUUUAAACUCCUCUGGACAAACAUUGACUUUGUCUCCAAACUCCGGUUGCCCCUAAACUUCCUCCGUUAACCGAGCGAAAAUGUCUGGAAAUCAGCGUCUGCUGGUGAAAAACGCCAAACAGCUGGUUCUGAUCUGCAGCAACGGAGAGAAGUUCCUGAACAAAGACGGGAUGAAGAGUCUGAGCGUGAUCGAAAACGGCAGCGUUGUGAUCGGGAGGGACGGGCUGAUUAAAUCGGUGGGACCUGCAGAAACCAUCAGUGCUCAAUACCCAGAGUCCUCCUUUGAUCGUGUGAUCGACGCCACAGACAUGUGCGUCCUGCCAGGUCUGGUUGAUGCUCACACUCAUCCGGUCUGGGCUGGAGACCGCGUGCACGAGUUUUCCAUGAAGCUGGCGGGAGCCUCCUACAUGGACGUGCACCGGGCCGGCGGAGGGAUCCACUUCACGGUGGAGCACACCCGCGCCGCCGCCGCCUCGGAGCUGCUGGACGCCCUGACCUGCAGGCUGUGGCGGAUGCUGCGCGCCGGAACCACGCUGGUGGAGUGUAAGAGCGGCUACGGGCUGGAGCUGCAGACCGAGGUCAAGAUGCUGGAGGUGAUAGAGGCGGCCAGACGCUCGCUGCCCGUCAACAUCUCCUCCACCUACUGUGGAGCUCACGCCGUGCCCAAAGGCAGGACGGAGGAGGAGGCGACAGCGGACAUCCUGCAGGUCCAGCUGCCGCGGCUGAAGGAGUUGAUGUCCGCCGGGUCGCUGCAGGUCGACAACAUCGACGUGUUCUGUGAGAGGGGCGUGUUCGGGCUGAGCUCCGCCCACCGCAUCCUGCAGGCCGGCAGAGACAUGGGCCUAAACAUCAACUUCCACGGAGACGAGCUUCACCCCAUGAACUCUGCUCAGAUGGGGGCGGAGCUUGGAGCGUUGGCCAUCAGCCACUUGGAGGAGGUGACGGAUGAAGGCAUCGUUGCCAUGGCGACAGCAAAGACGGCCGCCAUCCUCCUGCCGACGACGGCGUACAUCCUCCGGCUGCCGCAGCCUCGAGCCAGAGACAUGCUGGACGCCGGCGUGAUCGUCGCCCUCGGGAGCGACUUCAACCCAAACGCCUUCUGCUGCUCCAUGCCCAUCGUCAUGCACCUGGCCUGCGUCAACAUGAGGAUGACCAUGUCUGAGGCUCUGGCUGCAGCCACCAUCAACGCCGCAUACGCGCUCGGCCGCCAGCGCACGCACGGCUCGCUGGAGGUCGACAAACACGGAGAUCUGCUCAUCCUCAACUGCUGCAGAAAUCCAGCGAACGUAUUCUAGAAUUCACGGAGAUGCAUCUUUCCUCACAAGCUUUCAAUCAAGUGUCUAAAUGGUGGGAACACCUCAUCUACCAGCUGGGGGGGCAUCAGGAGCUCAUCCGGUACGUCGUCGUCAAAGGAAACGUCGUCCACGACAACACCAUGGAGAUGUGACUGCAGCAGCUUCUCUCAGAUUCUACAAGGACGACGGAGGAACCGUGAAGACUGACCCGCUUCCAGAAGACGUUGGAGGCGUUCCUGCCACAGCCGGGGUGGACCUGCUGGCAGCAGGUGUCAGGAACCACGUUCUCCUGCAGGGCGGCGUACCAGUCGUCAUGGUUCACCACACCGCAGCACAUCCACUGGAGAGAGAAACUCGUUUAUGGUUCUGAACCAGGACUCACAAUAAAAACAUGAGGACAAGUCUGA